GACGAACGCUGGCGGCGUGCUUAACACAUGCAAGUCGAACGGAAAGGCCCUGCUUUUGUGGGGUGCUCGAGUGGCGAACGGGUGAGUAACACGUGAGUAACCUGCCCUUUACUUUGGGAUAACUUCAGGAAACUGGGGCUAAUACCGGAUAGGAGCUCCUGCUGCAUGGUGGGGGGUGGGAAGUUUCGGCGGUUGGGGAUGGACUCGCGGCUUAUCAGCUUGUUGGUGGGGUAGUGGCUUACCAAGGCUUUGACGGGUAGCCGGCCUGAGAGGGUGACCUGCCACAUUGGGACUGAGAUACGGCCCAGACUCCUACGGGAGGCAGCAGUGGGGAAUAUUGCACAAUGGGCGGAAGCCUGAUGCAGCAACGCCGCGUGCGGGAUGACGGCCUUCGGGUUGUAAACCGCUUUCGCCUGUGACGAAGCGUGAGUGACGGUAAUGGGUAAAGAAGCACCGGCUAACUACGUG
rnacentral:rRNA from 1 species